GAGCUGGGUUCAGACCGUCGUGAGACAGGUCGGUCUCUAUCCGCUGUGGGCGUAAGGGAUUUGAGAGGAGCUGCUCCUAGUACGAGAGGACCGGAGUGGACUGACCUCUGGUGUGCCAGUUGUCGUGCCAACGGCAUUGCUGGGUAGCUACGUUGGGCAGAGAUAACCGCUGAAAGCAUCUAAGUGGGAAACUCGCCUCAAGAUUAGAUCCCUGUAAUCCAGUUAAUGGAGUAAGACCGCAGGUAGACCACCUGCUAUAUAGGCAACAAGUGUAAGCACAGCAAUGUGUUCAGCUAAGUUGUACUAAUGGUCGAGGGCUGAAUCCCG
rnacentral:rRNA from 1 species